AGAGUUUGAUCAUGGCUCAGGACGAACGCUGGCGGCGUGCUUAACACGUGCAAGUCAAGGAGAACGUCACCUUCGGGUGGCUAUUAGACUGGCGAACGGGUGAGUAUCGCGUAGGCAACCUGCCCUUCAGAUUGGAAUAGCCCCGGGAAACCGGGAUUAAUACCGAAUAUUAUUACAUUUCAUAAGUGAUGUAAUGAAAGCGGGCUUCGGCUCGUACUGAGGGAUGGGCCUGCGUCUGAUUAGUUUGUUGGUGGGGUAAUGGCCUACCAAGACUACGAUCAGUAGCUGGUUUGAGAGGAUGAUCAGCCACACUGGGACUGAGAUACGGCCCAGACUCCUACGGGAGGCAGCAGUGGGGAAUUUUGCGCAAUGGGCGAAAGCCUGACGCAGCAACGCCGCGUGAUCGAUGAAGCUCUGAGGAGUGUAAAGAUCUGUCCAAGGGGAAGAAAAACCGAGAUGUAAAUAAUGUCUUGGUGUGACGGUACCCUUGAAGAAAGCCCCGGCUAACUUCGUGCCAGCAGCCGCGGUAAUACGAGGGGGGCAAGCGUUGUCCGGAAUUAUUGGGUGUAAAGGGCUCGUAGGCGGGCCGAUCAGUCAGAAUUUAAAUACUACGGCUUAACCGUAGACCUGGUUCUGAUACUGUCGGUCUUGAGUAUGGUAGAGGUAAGCGGAAUUCCUGNUGUAGCGGUGAAAUGCGUAGAUAUCAGGAAGAACAUCGAAGGCGAAGGNAGCUUACUGGGGCCAAAACUGACGCUGAGGAGCGAAANCGUGGGGAGCNAACAGGAUUAGAUACCCUGGUAGUCCACGCCGUAAACGAUGANUACUUGAUGGUGGGGGAUUCNACCCCUUCACUG
rnacentral:rRNA from 1 species